AUGACUUUCGGUGGUGAGGUACAAAUUAUGGACAAUAACUUGACGCAAAGGAAUGUUGUUGGAGUGGCGGCGGUUAAAUUGCAGCUGCUUGGAUUGUGGAAAAGCGGCGGCGACAACACAUGUGUGACUUUGAUGGUGGUGCUGCGAGCACCGGGUCUCGAGCUCCGGGGCGAAAGCCUAGCUCAGACCCGAGUGGUCAUCCCUGGCAAUGGCGAUUUUUUUUUAUAUCGUGACCUUGUUGGAGGCAUUGCUCGGAUACGUUCGGACUGUUUCUUCAGGGUGAAAACUUUGAUUCUAGCCUUUUUGGUUGGAUCUGGUGACGGCGGCGCUUGA
rnacentral:rRNA from 1 species